rnacentral:rRNA from 1 species
UACGAAGGGGGCUAGCGUUGUCCGGAAUUAUUGGGCGUAAAGAGCUCGUAGGCGGUGUGUCGCGUCGGCCGUGAAAACCUGCAGCUUAACUGUGGGCUUGCGGUCGAUACGGGCAGGCUAGAGUUCGGUAGGGGAGACUGGAAUUCCUGGUGUAGCGGUGAAAUGCGCGAUAUCAGGAGGAACACCGGUGGCGAAGGCGGGUCUC